AGGAGCAGUGGGAGUGGCUACGAUGAGAAAGACAUUGGAUUGACAGGGAUAAACCGCCCAUAUCUCAAAGGAGAUGAAUUGAUGCUCCCGAUUGGACUACAAUCACUCCAUUAAAAGGAGGAAACAUUUGACCAAUCACACCUUUCACAUUGUGAAUGUCACAUGUGUGGUAUGUGUUAUCUUUGAAUAGUGAUUUAGAGCCACACAUUGAACUACGCGACCCUUUCAAUGGCGAUUUUAACUGAGACUGAGUGCCCAUGUUCACCAUAGAAGCCAACCCCAAAACCUUUCCCGGGAGUUUGAGCGUUUGAUCGGGAGUGUACCGUGUAAUUACAGUCUGUUCCCACUCAAUGAUGAUUUAUCCCAUCACUCAAGGAAGACACCUCAUAAUGGCUAACAUCAGGGGUACCCUUGUGUCUUAUCAUAAACGGGGUAUGAAAAGGUGGUUCUCAGCCCUGGUGACGAAGGCUGCUGAAGCUACAGGACUACCUGUGUCUGUAGUUAAGGAUGGCCAUGGUUAACCCCAGCUUCACCCCGGACGAGAUGUUGGACAAUAGAAGCAGCCGGUUCAAAGUUUACCAAGGGGCCUGUCGCGUGCUACAGGAGCCCAAGCCUUCAGAGGUGUGUGUGCGUAUGUGUGCAUGUGUGUGUAUGUAUUUGUUUGCACAAACAGGUGCCUUCCCAACUUUGUAUGUACGCAUUAUGUGUGUACUUCCAUGUGUGUUUAUGUCUGUACUUCCAUGCGUGUUUAUGUGUAUUCCUAUACAGUGCCUUCGGACCCCUUGACUUUUUCCACAUUUUGUUACGUUACAGCCUUAUUCUAAAAUAUAUUAAAUUGUUUUUCUUCUUCAUCAAUCUACACAGAAUACCCCAUAAUGACAAAGCAAAAACAAAGCAAAAACGGAAAAAAUUCAUUAAAAAUCAAAGACAGAAAUAGAACAUUUACA